GGCACUAUGGCGGAGUGGUUAACGCGAUGCCCUGCUAUACCUUAGAAAGGCUAGCCUAGGCAUUCCCUUCGGGGGCGUGAGUUCGAAUCUCACUGGUGUCG
rnacentral:tRNA from 1 species